GGACAGCAUAUGGAAAUAAGUGAAAAGAAAUUUAUAGGGAUAGUUUCUGAAAAAUCAAUACUUAAUUGUAAUGUAAGGAAAAUUAUUUUUACAAGGACAGCAGUGAUGUUUCUUUUAUACAGGAACUAGUAGUACAAUUAUUUGGAAAGCAGUAGCAAUUAAAUUUUAUUUUUAAACUUUUUCAUCAGAAACAUAACUUUAGCAGCUUGUUCAGCUUUUAAUUUUAGAUUGCUGACAAGCAUUUUGCCCAUUAAAAAAAAAAAGUUCUAUAAUUAUUUCAAAGACUAGAGGUUAAAAAGAACAUGCAUUUGUGUUCAAAAUUAAAGAUAUACCAAACUGAAAUGGAAAAAAAAAAUCCCCAAAGCAAGGUUUUCACAUCAAAUACUCCCCAGGCUCUAAGAGAACUCAACAUGCAGAAAACUACACUUGCUGCUGAACCCUAGUGUUCAUUCUUCUCCAGCAAAACCCUAGAUCCCACUUCCUUAAAAAUCGAUGUUACCAAAGAAACAGGAGUUGGCAGUUUUUAAAAGUGUACACAUGGCCAAAGGAAUAUUUAUCUUGUAUUUAAAUUACGGUUGGAGAUGAGCUAUUCCUCAAACCUGGUUCCACCUGAAACUAUGAAGGCAUUCCUCAUUUGGACCACGUUUACCAGAACGAGCUUUAGGUCUUCAAAGCAAUGUUUCUAAACUACUGCCUGCCUCUCAUAUUUAAGAUGAAAACCACAUAUUUUAACUGGUGAGGACUUCUGUUUUGACAGUGAUCAUUUAUAGCUGAGGAAUUUUGAAUGCUCUGUUUUUUUCCACUUCCUCUAAGCUUCUGGCCACUUCGACUGAUAUGAGGAAAGCCAAAUUUCAGCUCUUCCUGGCUGGUGUUCCAGGUGAUAGCUUGGCUGAGGAGACAACAAAUUCAACAACCAGGUGCCUGGUCUACCACAGACAAUGAUGAUCAAUCACAAGCACCUAACCCUGUAGAUGUGAAUACUGUUCCUGUGAAAAACUGGCAGCAAUAUAAAAGAUGGCUAACUUAGUUUAAUGAUGAGCUACAUCUGUACAUAUGUUUGAGGAAUUUAUACCAUCCAAGAAUCCCAAAGGAAGAUAUUAAACUGAGAUGAAUUUUUAAAAUCUGAAUAUGUUAAUGCAUCUAAAGAGCUGUUUUCUAUUAAACCAAAAGGUGUAUUUCCUAACAGAAACGUAAAAAAAAUAUAUAAAGCCUUACAUAAUAUAUAUUAUAUAAUACAUACAAUGUACAUAUUAUAUAAUGUAUAUAUAUUAUAUAGAAAAAACAGCUGACAAUCAUUUCCAAAUCUCAUAAGUUGUUCAAUGGAUUUGGUUCUCAACACAACAGAUUUAACAAAUCUACUAACAAUCACAUCACACUUCAAAAGCACGCCAAUUGUUCACAAAAUCCCCCACUUGGCAAACUUAGAGGCAUUUUAAAGCAUCACAGAAAUUUGCAGAGGCAUGAUACAUUUGCUGACCAUAUCCCAGUAAAAACCUGUCAAAAGCAGUAGGAUCAUUUUUGUCAAAUUUCUACACGUGAAAAUCAACUUUUUAUGUGUCAUUUUGCUAUGUUACAUGAUAAGGCACUCUCUUAGCCUGCAUGGUCUUACUUGCUGUGUACACAUUCACUUGGCCUCAGCCUGUCAUAGCAACAAAUGAGAGUGCAAAGUAUUGCUGUUCACUUUUCCCCUCAAGAUGGAAAUGAAGGGGAAAAAACCAAUAUAUCUGCCUAAGUUAGAAUGGAUAGCCAUGUAUCUCUGAAACAAUGAAACCAUGUAGUGUUGAGCAGACUUCUGCUGUCAGACUUGGAAGGUACUGACAUUCUGUACCUUGGAAGGUUCUGCUUCUGUAAGAAUUUAUAUUAGGAAAGAAGGCCAAUAACUACUGUUUUUUCCUAAUAAGAGUAAUUGACCCUUCACUAAAUACUGAACUAAAGGACAGCUUUACAAAACUAUUUCAAGUAUUCAUUAUCACAGUGAAAAUGGGAGACCAAUGCGAGAAUGAAGGAUUUGAAAAUUCCUUUGAUGAAAAAGGCAAGGGUACUAAAUCAAAACAUAUACAAAAUGCUUCAACGCAUUUCUUUAUGUGGUAUGAAUAGAAAGAUUAUCCAUAAAAAGUUAGAAAAAUUAAGAUAAAUUAUAUAUUAGUACACCUUCCCAACCACAUUUUAUAUAAAAAUUCAGAAUAGUGUACUGGUAUUUCAGUCUACACAAUAAAAAUGCCUGAACUUGGCAGAUAUCUUC